rnacentral:rRNA from 3 species
GGUGGGUGAACCUGCGGAAGGAUCAUUG